rnacentral:rRNA from 1 species
UACGUAGGUGGCAAGCGUUGUUCGGAAUUACUGGGCGUAAAGGGCGCGUAGGCGGCCUGUUAAGUCGAACGUGAAAUCCCCGGGCUCAACCCGGGAACUGCGUCCGAUACUGGCAGGCUUGAAUUCGGGAGAGGGAUGUGGAAUUCCAGGUGUAGCGGUGAAAUGCGUAGAUAUCUGGAGGAACACCGGUGGCGAAGGCGGCAUCCUGGACCAAUAUUGACGCUGAGGAGCGAAAGCCAGGGGAGCAAACGGG